rnacentral:rRNA from 1 species
AGUGAACGCUGGCGGUAGGCCUAACACAUGCAAGUCGAACGGCAGCACAGUAAGAGCUUGCUCUUACGGGUGGCGAGUGGCGGACGGGUGAGGAAUACAUCGGAAUCUACUUUUUCGUGGGGGAUAACGUAGGGAAACUUACGCUAAUACCGCAUACGACCUACGGGUGAAAGCAGGGGAUCUUCGGACCUUGCGCGAUUGAAUGAGCCGAUGUCGGAUUAGCUAGUUGGCGGGGUAAAGGCCCACCAAGGCGACGAUCCGUAGCUGGUCUGAGAGGAUGAUCAGCCACACUGGACCUGAGACACGGUCCAGACUCCUACGGGGGGCAGCAGUGGGGAAUAUUGGACAAUGGGGGCAAGCCUGAUCCAGCCAUACCGCGUGGGUGAAGAAGGCCUUCGGGUUGUAAAGCCCUUUUGUUGGGAAAGAAAAGCAGCAGGUUAAUACCCCGCUGUUCUGACGGUACCCAAAGAAUAAGCACCGGCUAACUUCGUG